rnacentral:snRNA from 1 species
CUCGUUGACACCAACAACGAACA